GCCGAUGUGAUGGAAUUGGUAGACGUGCCAGACUCAAAAUCUGGUGUAGGCAACUACGUGCCGGUUCGACCCCGGCCAUCGGCA
rfam:Acinetobacter sp. CAG:196 genomic scaffold, scf177